UACGUAGGGUGCGAGCGUUAAUCGGAAUUACUGGGCGUAAAGCGUGCGCAGGCGGUUCGUGAUGUCUGGUGUGAAAGCCCCGGGCUUAACCUGGGAAGUGCAUUCGAAACUCCCGAGCUUGAGUUCUGGAGAGGAAGGCGGAAUUCUCGGUGUAGAGGUGAAAUUCGUAGAUAUCGAGAGGAACACCGGUGGCGAAGGCGGCCUUCUGGACAGUGACUGACGCUGAGACGCGAAAGCGUGGGGAGCAAACAGG
rnacentral:rRNA from 1 species